rnacentral:lncRNA from 1 species
AUCCACCACUGUUGUCGGAGAGUGUCCAAACCUUGCACCGUCUCGUAUGCACAACUGUUUAAAGGGCAGUAUUUGUCAGCUUUCUCACAUCUGUAGUAGCACAAUUUCAGGGGUGGAAAGCAUGUACUAAUUAUGUAGGGUUCUAUCUGCUGUUCAAGAACCGAUGAUGGUUCUUGAUGAUGCUGGUGCUGGACCCACAGUUUCAUAAUACACGGAGAACUAAUGCAGUCUUCUAGCACUUGGUUAACAAAUUAUCCUGUGAGAUGGUUACGGCAAUAAGACACAGUGCAAGUAUUUAAAUAUGAAAGAGCAGUGCCAUGCUGUUUAUUUUCUGUGAGGAAUACUGACUGUAUCUCUGAAUAAACAGACAAGAGCCUUUCAUGGGAGAUUUUUGUUGUAUUAUAUUUGGCAGCUGUUUGUCUUAAUAGGAAUUCUUCAAUAGUAUUUAUUGUAUUUUGUGCUGGUAGGGGGGAGAGCCAAAGCAGAAUCCGAGCAGUUUUACUUGCUUUACUUGUGAACAAUGAGAAAAUAUUGCUAUAUUAAUUACUGUUGUGCUUUAUUGGCAAAAAUAAAGAGAUCCUAUAAUAUGAAAUUGCUAAUAUAAGAAAGGCUUUGAUUUUCUCAUUAGCACAGGAUAUUUUGCAUCUGUUCUGGUUCACGAGUGCAUUGUCGGCACUUAAAUAAUAAUAAUGACUCAGUAAUGAAUAAGAAUAACAACAAAUAGGCAUGCGAGUAUGCAGGCAGGCAGGCACCCUCCGGUGUUUAUCAGUAGGUUGGUUUUGGAGGUCUUGCAAAAUGAGCUGUUCCCAUAUGCCCAUUCAGAUUUUCUUAGAUCAUUGCACAGCCUGAAGAUUCAUUUCGCUGCUGACAUGGCUGGGUUAUAUACAAGUACAUUUUCAUUGUGUGUCAGGGGUGAAGUGUUAAAGUUGAAAUGGAAAAUGUGUUUCUUCCACUUAGAAACAUUUAAGUCUCCAUUUUUCCUCUGUUCUAUUUUUUCUUUUUCUUUUUCUUUUUCCUUUUUUUUUUUUUCUUUUUUUUGUGAAUAGUCUUAAGUAUCUCAUUGUUUUGAACUCAUGAAAAUAUCAGAGCUCUGGAUUGUUCUG